AGAACGAACGCUGGCGGCAGGCCUCAAACAUGCAAGUCUAGGGGAUAGCAAUAUCACCGGCGGACGGGUGCGUAACGCGUGGGAAUGUACCUAUUGGUUCGGAACAACACAGGGAAACUUGUGCUAAUACCGAAUGUGCCCGUAAGGGGAAAGAUUUAUCGCCAAUAGAUCAGCCCGCGUUCGAUUAGCUUGUUGGUGAGGUAAUGGCUCACCAAGGCGACGAUCGAUAGCUGUUCUGAGAGGAAGAUCAGCCACACUGGGACUGAGACACGGCCCAGACUCCUACGGGAGGCAGCAGUUGGAUCUUGGACAAUGGGGGAAACCCUGAUCCAGCCAUGCCGCGUGAGUGAUGAAGGCCUUCGGGUUGUAAAACUCUUUCGCGCACGACGAUAAUGACGGUAGUGCGAGAAGAAGCUCCGGCUAACUUCGCGCCAGCAGCCGC
rnacentral:rRNA from 1 species